rnacentral:rRNA from 1 species
AAUCAACGCUGGCGGCGUGCCUCAGACAUGCAAGUCGAACGCGAAAGUCCCCUUCGGGGGACAAGUAGAGUGGCGCACGGGUGAGUAACACGUAGGUAAUCUACCUUUGGAUGGGGAAUAACAACCGGAAACGGUUGCUAAUACCGCAUAAUGCAGCGGCACCUAAUGGUGACAGUUGUUAAAGCGGGGGAUCGAAAGACCUCGCGUCUGAAGAGGAGCCUGCGGCGGAUUAGCUAGUUGGUAAGGUAACGGCUUACCAAGGCGACGAUCCGUAGCCGGCCUGAGAGGGCGGUCGGCCACACUGACACUGACAUACGGGUCAGACUCCUACGGGAGGCAGCAGUCGGGAAUUUUGGGCAAUGGGCGAAAGCCUGACCCAGCAACGCCGCGUGAAGGAUGAAGCAUUUCGGUGUGUAAACUUCACAAGAAUGGGAAGAAUAAGUGUGGGAUAAUACCCUUCACGAUGACGGUACCAUUUGUAAGCUCCGGCUAACUCCGUGCCAGCAGCCGCC